rnacentral:lncRNA from 1 species
GUGAAUUUAGAGGUCGAAAGACGACCUUCCUCUUCACCAUCUUUCUGACCUCCGAUUGGAGUUCCUCUGGCCGCUUCACCGCAGGCUCUGGCUUCCUUUUCUCCAGGUACCUUUCUAUGGAGAGAUUAUGGACGUUUGCUGGUGAUGGUGGAUGGCGUGUGAGGCUCAGCUUAAGCACUUUUGGACUAACUCUGAAAACAAGAACCUGUACUGUCUGCGCAGGAAGUCUCUGUGAUGACCAGGUCUCACCGUCCAGAUCUGCAGGCAGCUCAGCCUUCAGAACCGUGACAGAGCCAAGUGAUUGUUGGGAGCAGAGGAAUGGGAGAAAGCCAGAAAUCCAUUGAAAGAUACUUUUAAUCCACUUAGGAAUACUUACGUAAAUACAUCUUGAAAACUUAAACUGGAAAUAAGCUUACACCAGAAUGAAACCAGUAGGCUGUGCAGGGGCUGGCUGUGGUCAGGACUCAGCAGGUGAAGGUGCCUGCUGCCCAGCCUGAUGAUCCGAGUCCACUUUCUGGAAUCUCCAUGGUUGACUGCCUCCAAGAGAUCCAGUUUCUCUGUCCUUUAGACUGCCGAGAGGGGACUGGCCAUCUACCUCUCAUAGGCAAUGCUGUCCCUUUGAUCCUGCAGGCCAACAGCUCCCUCUGGUGGUCUCUAGUGGAAGUCUCGACUGUAAGGGGCUUCUGUCUCCUGGGAGGUGGAUGGAGUGGAGAAGGCGAGAUCAGCCGUGGUUCUAGUGGACUCUGCACAGCGCUCCGCACCGUUCAGAUCCCAUAUUUGCCUGAGUGGGGGAGAGGGAACUUGGGAGAGCGUCAGUGAGCCUUGUUACUGUGAUAAAAUAAAUGUCUGGCAAAAACAAAAGAAGACAGUCUUUUGGGGGUUUCAGCCUGUGAUGGGCGAGUUCCAUCGCUUCUGGACCCAUGAUGGAGGCAGCACAUCAUGGUGGAGAGGGCACGGUACAGGCGGCAGAGAUGCUCAUCUCAUUGAGGCAGGGAACAGGUAAAGGGUCCAGGAGACAAGAUGUACCCUUCAAAGGCAUGCCCUGGUGACCUAUGUCCUUCAGUUACACCCUAGCUCCUAACAGGCCAUUCAGUAUCAGAGGGCUGCUCAAUCCUUUGCCCUCAUGAACCAGGAACCUCUCACUAGCACCCCCAACUGGAGCCAAACCUUCAUUGCAUGAGCCUAUUAGGGUUACACUGGAUACACAAACAGGAACAGAGUGCAAGCCCUAAGCCCCACUGC